GAUGAACGCUGGCGGCGUGCUUAACACAUGCAAGUCGAACGAAGCAUUCCAGACGGAACAGCUUGCUGGGAAGACUGGGAUGACUGAGUGGCGGACGGGUGAGUAACGCGUGGGCAACCUGCCUCACACUGGGGGAUAACAGCCAGAAAUGGCUGCUAAUACCGCAUAACAAAUAACUUUGCAUGAAGUUAUUUUGAAAACUCCGGUGGUGUGAGAUGGGCCCGCGUCUGAUUAGCCAGUUGGCAGGGUAACGGCCUACCAAAGCGACGAUCAGUAGCCGGCUUGAGAGAGUGAACGGCCACAUUGGGACUGAGACACGGCCCAA
rnacentral:rRNA from 1 species